rnacentral:rRNA from 1 species
CCGCAAGGUUGAAACUCAAAGGAAUUGACGGGGACCCGCACAAGCGGUGGAUGAUGUGGUUUAAUUCGAUGCAACGCGAAAAACCUUACCUACCCUUGACAUGCCAGGAAUCCUGCAGAGAUGUGGGAGUGCUCGAAAGAGAACCUGGACACAGGUGCUGCAUGGCCGUCGUCAGCUCGUGUCGUGAGAUGUUGGGUUAAGUCCCGCAACGAGCGCAACCCUUGUCAUUAGUCGCUACGAAAGGGCACUCUAAUGAGACUGCCGGUGACAAACCGGAGGAAGGUGGGGAUGACGUCAGGUCCUCAUGGCCCUUAUGGGUAGGGCUACACACGUCAUACAAUGGCCGGUACAGAGGGCUGCCAACUCGCGAGGGGGAGCCAAUCCCAGAAAACCGGUCGUAGUCCGGAUCGCAGUCUGCAACUCGACUGCGUGAAGUCGGAAUCGCUAGUAAUCGCGGAUCAGCUUGCCGCGGUGAAUACGUUCCCGGGUCUUGUACACACCGCCCGUCACACCAUGGGAGCGGGUUCUGCCAGAAGUAGUUAGCCUAACCGCAAGGAGGGCGAUUACCACGGCAGGGUUCGUGACUGGGGUGAAGUCGUAACAAGGUAGCCGUAUCGGAAGGUGCGGCUGGAUCACCUCCUU